GGAUGGGAGGGCAAUCUGGCUAGAUAUCUGUCACCCCACUGAUCACCAGAGUUGAUUUGGCUGAUCCGGCUGGCUAGGCAGGUGUCCUCUUCCUCCCUCACCGCUCUGUGUGCGUCCCUCCUGAAGCUGCACGCUCAGUCAAAAAGGAUGACCUUCCCCAAAUAGAGGAAGACCAGUCUUGGAUCCAGGGUAUACGAGUAGCUGCGCUCCCUUGCUAGAACCUCCAAACAAGCUCUCAAAGACUUAUCUGGUGGCACAGAAGAUGGGAGACCAUCAGGCCAACCAGAAGUGCUGCAGGUGAGAACUGGAAGGCCAGCCCUAAAGC
rnacentral:snRNA from 1 species